ACAUCUGAAAUUACAGAAAAUAUCAUGCAGUCAAUAUGUUCUUCUUCUGCAUUAUAUAACCGAGAGGUAGAAAGAAAAUGCUCUUGAGAAGAUUUUUACAAGGAUGUUGCCAUGAGGCAACUAGUACUCCUGCACCUAUUCCAGCACUAUCUAAAUGGCGUCAAGUUGGCAAAAGGGGUGGUACAACGGGAUCUGGGGUUCCUUGUACAUCAGUCUAUGAAAGUAAGCAUGCAGGUAAUGGAGCAGCUGGGCUUGUACACUCUGGAGUUUAGAAGGAUGAGGGGAUCUUAUUGAAACAUAUAAGAUUGUUAAGGGCUUGGACACGCUAGAGGCAGGAAACAUGUUCCUGAUGUUGGGGGAGUCCAGAACCAGGGGCCACAGUUUAAGAAUAAGGAGUAAGCCAUUUAGAACGGAGACGAGGAAACACUUUUUCUCAGAGAGUGGUGAGUCUGUGGAAUUCUCUGCCUCAAAGGGCAGUGGAGGCAGGUUCUCCUGAUGCUUUCAAGAGAGAGCUAGAUAGGACUCUUAAAAAUAGUGGAGUCAGGGGAUAUGGGGAGAAGGCAGGAACGAGGUACUGGUUGUGGAUGAUCAGCCAUGAUCACAUUGAAUGGCGGUGCUGGCUCGAAGUGCCAAAUGGCCUACUCCUGCACUUAUUGUCUAUUGAGGCCCCGACUGUACCUGAGACAAAGGGGAGCACCCAGCUCUAAGAUCUAAACUAUAGUGAAAGUUCGGGCAGACUUAAUAAAAUUCUCAGUACAAAACAGAGUCAAUCUGUUCAUAUUCUGCAUUAAAUCAAUCAAUCAAUCAAUCAACCUUUAUUGUCAUCUUGCAAAGCAACAGUUAUACAGUGCAAAAUGAGAAGACGUUUCCCAGGGAAUACCGGAGCAUCGCACAUGAAACUUAAAACAUUUCACACACAAUAACAAUAAAAACAAUCCAGUCCCUGAUGAAACAGUAUAAAUAGUUAAAAGCAGGUAAAACAGCAACAUUAAAAUACAGUAAAAACAAUCAUUAAAAUGUCAGUGCAAAGCCGCAUAAUCAGGUGACUGAGUACAGAGUGACUGUUUAGCAGCCUCACAGCCUGUGGCAGGAAGCUGUUUAGCAGUCUGGUAGUCCGGGUUUUGAUGCUACGGUAUCUCUUGCCUGAUGGCAGGAGAUCCAGGUGUGUGUGGAGGGGGUGCAGUUUGUCCUUAGCUAUUCUCAGAGCUUUUUUCAGACAGCGGCUCUGGAACAGUUCUUGUACCGAAGGUAGGGAGACACCGAUGAUCCUAUCUGCUCCCCUCUCUACCCUCUGCAGAGCCUUCCUGUCUGAGCAGUUGCAGUUGGAGUACCACGUGUUUAUACAGUAUGUGAGUACAGACAGGAGGUACAAUGAAAAUGCUCUCAAGGAGAAGAUUUUUAAGAGGAUGUUGCCACAAGGACUCGACUAUCUGAGCUCUAUGAUCUAACUACAGUGAGAGAUUGAACAGACUAAAUAAAAUGUUCAAUAUGCCACAGAAGUAAUAAAUGUUUUCUUACCUUUCCUCCUUAACAGGGAACCUGGAGAAAGACAAGUUGGGUUGCCUACAUUGCCGAUUGGAGCAACUUACAGCAGAGCAGAAUGCAACACUAGUAGAUGUGGACGCCGCUAUGGACAAAGUGAAGAUUCUUUAGAUUCCAGAGCGGAGGCGGAAGCAAAGAUCCGAUCUUUGGCCGGAAGCAAGAUGGCGGAGGCUGGUUGCUAAAAUGGGUCCUAUAAUUGCCCAUGAAUCUGCCCAUGACUGUACUACAUAUUUUACGUAGGAGUAGGCCAUCUUGCUCCGCUAUAAGAUCUUUGCUAGAGAUAUGGAAGUGUGAAAACGACAGAUCAAAGCAGACAAUGUUCAAGGAAAUGUAGAUUGGUUCUCAUUGUUGCCUGAGGGGAAGGUGACACCGAGGCAUACAAUCAGUGAAAUUAAAUCAUGUUGGGAUGUUUUUCUUCCCAUAGAAGCCGUCUGAUCUGCUAAGUUUCUCCAGCAUUUUCUUUCUGUAUUUCUUGUCUGUGAAACAUCCUGACGAUUUUCAACAGCACCAUAAAUCCAUUAAAGCAUAAAUCAAAAAAGAGGAAUCAGACGCAUCGUUGCAGCUGGAACAGCUGGAAACAAAUGUGUUCUCACCCCACGUCUGUGAGCAGUAACAAUGCUGACCUCUGGGGCUGUGUGUGUGGGGGUGCAUUUUCACUCUAUGGCUCCCAAGGUUGUCACUAGGGGCUCCUUUCCUCCCACAUCUCAAAGACGUGUUGUUCAAUUAUUUGCUCCACGUUGUAGUUAAGCACCAAAAGAACCAAAUGGGAGUUCCGUAUGUGAGAGAAAAUAAGUUGCAGCUGCCGUGGACACAAAGGGCUUCCUUUGCAAAGAAAAUGUUUGAAAAAUCUAUGUGGAGCCACAAGAGACUGCAGAUACUCUAAUUUCAAGCAAAAAAAAAACCCAAAGCAUUGUCUGAAACAAACUGCUGGCUGAAGAAAGGCCCCGGCCCAAAACAUCGCUGUCCAUUUUUCUGCACAGACGCUGCCUGAUUUGCUGAUUUCCUCCAGCAGUUUUUUUUUUUUGCUGGAAAAUCUACAUCCUUGUAACAAUAAUUUUACUUCGAUAAUUUAUUGGGUAUUCUGCAGGAGGGCAUGGUAAGCACCUUUAAGGUGUUGGCAGACUGGUGUUUACUGAAUCUUCUAUGCAUUUAUAUUACAAAUGAAGCUUUGAAUAAAAGAUAACCUCCAGCCAGAA